rnacentral:rRNA from 1 species
UGGGGAAUAUUGGGACAAUGGGCGCAAGCCUGAUCCAGCCAUGCCGCGUGAGUGAUGAAGGCCCUAGGGUUGUAAAGCUCUUUCACCGGUGAAGAUAAUGACGGUAACCGGAGAAGAAGCCCCGGCUAACUUCGUGCCAGCAGCCGCGGUAAUACGAAGGGGGCUAGCGUUGUUCGGAUUUACUGGGCGUAAAGCGCACGUAGGCGGACUAUUAAGUCAGGGGUGAAAUCCCGGGGGCUCAACCCCGGAACUGCCUUUGAUACUGGUAGUCUUGAGUUCGAGAGAGGUGAGUGGAAUUCCGAGUGUAGAGGUGAAAUUUCGUAGAUAUUCGGAGGAACACCAGUGGCGAAGGCGGCUCACUGGCUCGAUACUGACGCUGAGGUGCG